CUUCUGAAAGUAAAACGCAGGGUAUAAAAUGCUCUCCCUGUCUGGCUUAUCUUCCUCCACAAAAGCUUUUCUCUCCUCUCCUUCUCUCUUCCUUUUCUUCCUUCCUCCAAACCCUAGAAUCUCUGCAUCGUCUUCCUUUUCCUUUCAAUCUCCUCCUCGGAUUCCGAUUUCCUUUAGAGCCGGUUCUAGUUUCACUGGCGCCUCAAUUUCCGACCGAAACGAAGAGGUUCUCGCCGGCGUCAGGCCUAAUUUCGCCGGCGUGCGAUUGGAGGCGACGGUCGCGGUCGAUUCCGGCAAGGUCAGGCUCGAUUCUUGGAUCUCUUCUCGCGUUAGCGGAAUCAGCAGGGCUCGCGUGCAGUCUAGCAUCCGAUUGGGCCUCGUUCGGGUUAACGGCCAGGUCGUCGAUAAGGUUUCGCAGAAUGUGAAAACUGGCGACAAAAUCGAUUGCACAAUCUCUGAGUUGCAACCGUUGAAGGCUGAAGCUGAGGAUAUUCCUUUAGAAAUUGUGCAUGAAGACGAUAGCGUACUGGUUGUCAACAAACCUCCACACAUGGUUGUCCAUCCAGCACCAGGCAAUGCUAAAGGCACACUUGUGAAUGGCAUUCUUCAUCAUUGUAGUCUUCCUACAAUUGCAUUUUCACACCAGGAAAGUCUUUCUGAUGAUGAGGAUACUUGUGAUGAUGAAUUCAGGGGAAUGUCUAUGGAUGCUAGCAUUUCUGGAGCAUCAGUGCGUCCUGGAAUUGUGCACAGAUUAGACAAAGGCACUAGUGGGUUGCUUGUUGUUGCAAAGGAUGAACAUUCUCAUGCGCAUUUAUCUGAACAAUUCAAGUUGCACACUAUACAUAGAGUAUAUGUUAGUCUUACUUCAGGUGUGCCCUCCCAACUUUCUGGACAUAUUGAGGUUCCAAUCGGUCGUGAUCCAAAUAAUCGGAUUCGUAUGGCUGCUAUACCAGGAGCAACUAAUAGUAAACGAGCUCGACAUGCUGCUAGUAGGUAUAAAGUAAUUGAAAUACUUGCUGCUGGUGGUUCUGCAUUGGUUGAGUGGAGAUUAGAAACUGGGCGCACCCAUCAGAUACGUGCACAUGCGAAGUACUUGGGUAUUCCUCUAUUAGGCGAUGAGGUGUAUGGAGGGGCGAAGAGCAUGGCUUUGUCACUGCUUCGGUCUAAAACUCCCUCUAGCUGUCAUGGUCAACUCUCAAAGCUGGUCUCUGGAUUCAAGAGGCCUUGUCUCCAUGCUUUAGCUCUUGGGUUUACACAUCCAUAUACAAAGAAGAACAUACAGUUUACAUGCCCACCUCCUGCAGAUUUUACUGAGAUAUUGAGCCAACUUCGAAAAUUUGGCGACGUUAAGCAUUCUGCUUAGAUAUUGUCCGUUCUUGGUAACCUUAAGCAAGACACUACCAGGUGAAUAGAAAGUUAUGACAGUGAAGUGUGAACUACAUUUUCAUCGCAAGAGUGGAUCAAUAGUUGAGAAUAUGCCCGCAGAACAUAUCGGACCAUAGCCAUACCGAAAAAAGGACUCAGGUUUCUCUACAAUAACCUCUGCAAAGAAGUGUAUAAGGGCUGAAAAAAUCUUGGUAAGGGGGUCCAAAAAAAAAUUCGUUGGAUCUUUAAAAAGCCAGUCAAACGGAUUUUUUUGCCAAAAAAUAAAAAAGUCUUAGCGGAUCUUAAACAAGGACCUUAAACAAAAGAUGUGGUGAGCUCAAGUUCCAUGAUUUCACUAUCAUCGUUGUAGCAAAAUUUUCGGCCCAUUCACAUUUUCCCGGGAGUUUAUCGUUGCUUAAAGAAGAUCACAACUUAUUCUCGU